AUGAAUACUUUAAUGAUGGAUUUGAAAACCGGGGAGUUGAUAAAACAACAGUUUGUUUGCAACAAGUUUCGAAAGCUUGAUGUCGAUGACGGAGGGGCAGAAAAGAUUCCUGUGCUAGAUGACAUUGUUGAGCAAGAAAAGGAUGAUAAUGAAGAUGAGGCUAUUGUAUUUCUUGAUGAUGAUGACAGUAAGGGCAAAAAGAGGAGCAAGAAAUGA
rnacentral:rRNA from 1 species